UACGGAGGAUCCAAGCGUUAUCCGGAAUUACUGGGCGUAAAGAGUUGCGUAGGUGGCAUAGUAAGCAGGCAGUGAAAUCGUGUGGCUCAACCAUACUCACAUUACCUGAACUGCUAAGCUAGAGUAUAAGAGAGGUAGCUGGAAUUUCUAGUGUAGGAGUGAAAUCCGUAGAUAUUAGAAGGAACACCGAUGGCGUAGGCAGGCUACUGGCUUAUUACUGACACUAAGGCACGAAAGCGUGGGGAGCGAACAGG
rnacentral:rRNA from 1 species